rnacentral:rRNA from 1 species
ACUCAAAUGAAUUGACGGGGAGGCGCACAAGCAGUGGAGCGUGUGGUUUAAUUCGAUACAAAGCGAAAAACCUCACCAGGGUUUGACAUGCUAAUGUAACUUUGGGGAAACCCGAAGCCUCUGUUAAAAGACAUUAGCACAGAUGCUGCAUGGCUGUCAUCAGUUCGUGGCGUGAGCUGUACCAUUAAGUUGGGAAACGAACGAAACCCGCACCGUAUGUUAAAUAAUCCAUGCGGAACUGCUCGCCUUAGGCGAGAGGAAGAAGCGGAUUAUGUCAAGUCAGCACGGCUCUUACACCCUGGGCUACACACACCCUACAAUGGGCAGUCACAACGAGUUGCAAACUGGUAACAGUAAGCUAAUCUCUGAAAACUGUCCUCAGUUCAGAUCGAGGGCUGCAAUUCGCCCUCGUGAAGUCGGAAUUGCUAGUAAUCGCGGAUCAGCAGGCCGCGGUGAAUACGUUCUCGCCUCUUGUACACACCGCCCGU